UGGGGAAUAUUGCACAAUGGGCGGAAGCCUGAUGCAGCGACGCCGCGUGGGGGAUGAAGGCCUUCGGGUUGUAAACUCCUUUCGACAGGGACGAAGCUUUUGUGACGGUACCUGUAUAAGAAGCACCGGCUAACUACGUGCCAGCAGCCGCGGUAAUACGUAGGGUGCGAGCGUUGUCCGGAAUUACUGGGCGUAAAGAGCUCGUAGGUGGUUUGUCGCGUCGUCUGUGAAAUUCCGGGGCUUAACUCCGGGCGUGCAGGCGAUACGGGCUGACUUGAGUGCUGUAGGGGAGACUGGAAUUCCUGGUGUAGCGGUGAAAUGCGCAGAUAUCAGGAGGAACACCAAUGGCGAAGGCAGGUCUCUGGGCAGUAACUGACGCUGAGGAGCGAAAGCAUGGGUAGCGAACAGGAUUAGAUACCCUGGUAGUCCAUGCCGUAAACGGUGGGCGCUAGGUGUAGGGGGCUUCCACGUCUUCUGUGCCGUAGCUAACGCAUUAAGCGCCCCGCCUGGGGAGUACGGCCGCAAGGCU
rnacentral:rRNA from 1 species